rnacentral:rRNA from 1 species
AUACGGAGGAUGCGAGCGUUAUCCGGAUUUAUUGGGUUUAAAGGGAGCGUAGGCGGGAGCUUAAGUCAGCGGUUAAAUGGUGCGGCUCAACCGUGCCCUGCCGUUGAAACUGGGUUUCUUGAGAGUGCAAGAGGCGGAUGGAAUUCAUGGUGUAGCGGUGAAAUGCUUAGAUAUCAUGAAGAAAUCCGAUUGCGAAGGCGGUCCGCGGGCGCACGUCUGACGCUGAUGCUCGAAGGUGCGGGAAUCAAACAGGAUUAGAUACCCUGGUAGUCCGCACGGUAAACGAGGAGUACCCGCUGUCGGCGGUAGACAGUCGGCGGCCAAGCGAAAGCGAUAAGUAAUCCACCUGGGGAGUACGCCGGCAACGGUGAAACUCAAAUGAAUUGACGGGG